UCUCGUACCGCAGAACCAGUCCUACAGGAAAUCUGAUUGGGUCUACUUUCAAAACAUAUCAUGAAUCUGACCCCUUUGCGCCGCCAUGCCUGCCCUCAGCCUGGUAAGAGCCACCAUGCCCUAUCUGAAUUUCUGCAGCGGUCAUCAACUGAUCUUGAUCCUAUGCUUUUUCUUUUCAAGUCUGUUGUCAACGCUUCAGCCAACGUGACCCUUUCAAAGUAUGAAUCAGAAUAUGGGCAGUGUAAGAAUCAUAUUUGAGAGGUAACAUCCCCAGGUUGGCCAGUAUCACAGACCAGCCUUGAAUGAAGCUUCCUUCUGUCACUUCACACACACACAAGAGGUAAUUUCAACUCUCCAUGCAGACACUGUCACUGCAAUUAUUGGUGAAGUGAUCAUCACUUCCCAGCAAAGAGAUGAGAUCAUGGUGUCCCAGACCUUUAUCUCGGAUAAGAUACCACCUUUGCACACAUGCUCCAGAUUGGACUCUAAAAUCUGCUGGUUUGGUGGGGAAUGACAUUUGGUAAGUAGAACUUCCUUUUAGAUCAAGAGAGAGUCUUAGAGAAAAAUGAUACUGCUAAGAAGACAUUUUAAGAAAUAUUGUGUGUGAAUAUAAUCUUAUUUUCCUGGGGAGAGAAAAUGGGCACAAAUAUAUAC